GAUGAACGCUGGCGGCGUGCCUAACACAUGCAAGUCGAGCGAUUCUCUUCGGAGAAGAGCGGCGGACGGGUGAGUAACGCGUGGGUAACCUGCCCUGUACACACGGAUAACAUACCGAAAGGUAUGCUAAUACGAGAUAAUAUACUUUUAUCGCAUGGUAGAAGUAUCAAAGCUCCGGCGGUACAGGAUGGACCCGCGUCUGAUUAGCUAGUUGGUAAGGUAACGGCUUACCAAGGCGACGAUCAGUAGCCGACCUGAGAGGGUGAUCGGCCACAUUGGAACUGAGACACGGUCCAAACUCCUACGGGAGGCAGCAGUGGGGAAUAUUGCACAAUGGGCGAAAGCCUGAUGCAGCAACGCCGCGUGAGCGGAUGAAGGGCCUUCGGGUCGUAAAGCUCUGUCCUCAAGGAAGAUAAUGACGGUACUUGAGGAGGAAGCCCCGGUAACUACGUGCCAGCAGCCGCGGUAAACACCGAGAGUA
rnacentral:rRNA from 1 species